rnacentral:rRNA from 1 species
UGGGGAAUUUUGGACAAUGGGCGAAAGCCUGAUCCAGCAAUGCCGCGUGUGUGAAGAAGGCCUUCGGGUUGUAAAGCACUUUUGUCCGGAAAGAAAUCCUUGGCUCUAAUACAGUCGGGGGAUGACGGUACCGGAAGAAUAAGCACCGGCUAACUACGUGCCAGCAGCCGCGGUAAUACGUAGGGUGCAAGCGUUAAUCGGAAUUACUGGGCGUAAAGCGUGCGCAGGCGGUUUGCUAAGACCGAUGUGAAAUCCCCGGGCUCAACCUGGGAACUGCAUUGGUGACUGGCAGGCUAGAGUAUGGCAGAGGGGGGUAGAAUUCCACGUGUAGCAGUGAAAUGCGUAGAGAUGUGGAGGAAUACCGAUGGCGAAGGCAGCCCCCCUGGGGCCAAAUACUGACGCUCAUGCACGAAAAGCGUGGGGAGCAAAACAGGAUUAGAUACCCUGGUAGUCCACGCCCCUAAAACGAUGUCAACUAGUUGUUGGGGGAUUCAUUUCCUUAGUAACGUAGCUAACGCGUGAAGUUGACCGCCUGGGGAGUACGGUCGCAAGAUUAAAGCUCAAAUGAAUUGACGGGGUCAU